UCAGAUAAGGGGGCAAGCAGUGGGUGAAGUAAAAAUUGUAUCGGAUAUGCAUGAACGCAAGGCUGAGAUGGCUCACAGAGCAGAUGCUUUUAUCGUGCUUCCAGGAGGAUAUGGGACAAUGGAGGAGUUGCUUGAAAUGAUAACAUGGUCUCAGCUUCGAAUCCAUGAGAAACCACUUCCGAGGAGCCACCAUUACUUUUAAUAGUAUCUGUUCACUGUGCAACAAGAGCAGCUAUUAGAGAAGCGAAGAAUGGUGCAGCUCAAAUGAAUCUGAUUCAACCUUUUAGUUGGACAUCCCUGCAACCAUGCCUUGUUGUUAAGGAGCCAUGUGGACUUGACAAUGUGGAGAGAUACUUGCAGGGAAAAGACAAGAGAUG